UAGAGCAGAGCUGUUAGCUUAGCGUAGUGCGUCACCAUACGUGCGCCCUCGUGACAAAUGGUGACUGCACCCGACAGCCCCAAGUGUCCUGCCAAACCUAUUUGCCUAUUCGCGUAGAGUAACGUGAUUUACAUACAUAUAUACAUAUGUAUAUAAAAUAUUAUAUUACAUUACAUUUAACUUUUGUAUAUCAAAUCGGCAUACAUUAAUCAAUACGGUUGAUUAAAAUUUAAUUGACAUAUGGUGUUCCAUUAAACAAGCGAAUCGUCGUCAUCGUCGCCGUGGUCGUGGUAUGUCCAUAUACUUGUUUAUAGAGUGAGCGGGUGCGUAUGUUUUGUACUCCUGACUGAUGAAGAUGCCAUUAAAAAGUGAUCAAGAGAUUAUGGAAAAUUCAAUGCUUGAGGAGGAUCCGAAUGGCAAUUCGGCACUCGAACAGGUGUUCAACACAGAAAAGAAUUCUCCUCGUUGGGGACCACAACAUAAGGGUGCACAAGAGCUUGCUAAGCUGUAUGGCCCAGGGAAACGUCUACAAGAGAUAGUCUGCGUUUACACCUGCAUCGCACUCAUGAUAGUUGACCUGAUUCUGAUCCUAAAACAUAUACAUUUUGAAAGACUGAGUGUGGCUUGUGUAUCGGCAUUGUGUGGUAUUAUAACGGCCGACUUCGGUUCCGGAUUAGUCCACUGGGCAGCUGAUACUUGGGGUAGCGUUGAAUUACCGGUCAUUGGGAAGAAUUUUUUACGACCUUUCCGUGAACAUCAUCUGGAUCCAACAUCUAUAACGCGGCAUGACUUCAUUGAAACCAAUGGUGACAACUUUAUGGUUAGCAUACCCAUAUUGGGCUUCUUAGCAUACAGCUUUAACACGAAAUCACCUCAAGAUAUUCAGCAAGAUUUUGGCUGGAUAUCAUAUUUGUUUUUGUGUUCAAUAUUUGUGGCUAUGACAAAUCAGAUUCACAAAUGGUCGCAUACUUAUUGGGGUUUACCGAGAUGGGUUCUCUUCUUGCAAAACUAUCACAUAGUAUUACCACGAAAACAUCACCGUAUACAUCACGUAGCACCGCAUGAGACAUAUUUUUGCAUUACUACGGGGUGGCUGAAUUGGCCAUUGGAAAAGAUUAAAUUCUGGCACACGUUAGAGGCUAUAAUUGAGUACUGUACAGGCUGCAAGGCACGCGACGAUGACCUCAAGUGGGCUAAAAAGAUGACAUAACUGUAUUGGGACAAAGCUGAGAAAUGGGCUUUAAUCCUCGAGAUCCUCAAAAACUAGUCGAGAACCAUACAUACAAAUCAGUUACACUGGUCUUCAGUGGUUUCGUUGCCCUAGUUAAAAAAACGAUUUUGGAUAUUGUAUUUUGUGCCCUCAGUUUAUUAAACAAAAUAACAUAUGUAUAUGUAUACUAUGUACAUAUCGUGCUAUGUACAUAUCGGGCAUGAAUGAAAAAGGAAAUAAAAUGGAACAUGAGUGAAAACUGGUUUAUAUCUAAGGGUAGAACCUGAAAAUGUU
rnacentral:misc_RNA from 1 species